UAGCUGUCCAAGUCGCAACCAUCUUUAUUGGGUCUAAAACAUCCGUAGCUUGCUUAGUAAGUUCUUUGUGAAAUCCUGUCUCUCAAGGGCAGGGCGUGCAAGGAAUACUGCUUCGCUAGAGACUGGAAGACGUAAGAAGUACGUUUGAAGUAGCGGUUAAAUGCGUUAAUCUUAGACGGACUCACAACAGCGAAGGCAUCUUACGAGGACAGAUCUGACAGUGAGGGAUGAAGGCCAGGGGCGCAAAACGGAUUAGAUACCCGUGUAGUCCUGGCAGUAAACACUGCACACUAAACAUCAGUACCUCUUCGCGAGGCAUUGGUUCUUGAGGGAAGCCGAAGAGUGUGCUACCUGGGAAGUAUAGCCGCAAGGCCG
rnacentral:rRNA from 1 species